rnacentral:rRNA from 1 species
GGGUUGUGAGGUUAAGCGACUAAGCGUACACGGUGGAUGCCCUGGCAGUCAGAGGCGAUGAAGGACGUGCUAAUCUGCGAUAAGCGUCGGUGAGGUGAUAUGAACCGUUAUAACCGGCGAUUUCCGAAUGGGGAAACCCAGUGUGUUUCGACACACUAUCAUUAACUGAAUCCAUAGGUUAAUGAGGCGAACCGGGGGAACUGAAACAUCUAAGUACCCCGAGGAAAAGAAAUCAACCGAGAUUCCCCCAGUAGCGGCGAGCGAACGGGGAGGAGCCCAGAGCCUGAAUCAGUGUGUGUGUUAGUGGAAGCGUCUGGAAAGGCGCGCGAUACAGGGUGACAGCCCCGUACACAAAAAUGCACAUACUGUGAGCUCGAUGAGUAGGGCGGGACACGUGGUAUCCUGUCUGAAUAUGGGGGGACCAUCCUCCAAGGCUAAAUACUCCUGACUGACCGAUAGUGAACCAGUACCGUGAGGGAAAGGCGAAAAGAACCCCGGCGAGGGGAGUGAAAAAGAACCUGAAACCGUGUACGUACAAGCAGUGGGAGCCUCUUAAUGGGGUGACUGCGUACCUUUUGUAUAAUGGGUCAGCGACUUAUAUUCUGUAGCAAGGUUAACCGAAUAGGGGAGCCGAAGGGAAACCGAGUCUUAACUGGGCGUUAAGUUGCAGGGUAUAGACCCGAAACCCGGUGAUCUAGCCAUGGGCAGGUUGAAGGUUGGGUAACACUAACUGGAGGACCGAACCGACUAAUGUUGAAAAAUUAGCGGAUGACUUGUGGCUGGGGGUGAAAGGCCAAUCAAACCGGGAGAUAGCUGGUUCUCCCCGAAAGCUAUUUAGGUAGCGCCUCGUGAAUUCAUCUCCGGGGGUAGAGCACUGUUUCGGCAAGGGGGUCAUCCCGACUUACCAACCCGAUGCAAACUGCGAAUACCGGAGAAUGUUAUCACGGGAGACACACGGCGGGUGCUAACGUCCGUCGUGAAGAGGGAAACAACCCAGACCGCCAGCUAAGGUCCCAAAGUCAUGGUUAAGUGGGAAACGAUGUGGGAAGGCCCAGACAGCCAGGAUGUUGGCUUAGAAGCAGCCAUCAUUUAAAGAAAGCGUAAUAGCUCACUGGUCGAGUCGGCCUGCGCGGAAGAUGUAACGGGGCUAAACCAUGCACCGAAGCUGCGGCAGCGACACUAUGUGUUGUUGGGUAGGGGAGCGUUCUGUAAGCCUGUGAAGGUGUACUGUGAGGUAUGCUGGAGGUAUCAGAAGUGCGAAUGCUGACAUAAGUAACGAUAAAGCGGGUGAAAAGCCCGCUCGCCGGAAGACCAAGGGUUCCUGUCCAACGUUAAUCGGGGCAGGGUGAGUCGACCCCUAAGGCGAGGCCGAAAGGCGUAGUCGAUGGGAAACAGGUUAAUAUUCCUGUACUUGGUGUUACUGCGAAGGGGGGACGGAGAAGGCUAUGUUGGCCGGGCGACGGUUGUCCCGGUUUAAGCGUGUAGGCUGGUUUUCCAGGCAAAUCCGGAAAAUCAAGGCUGAGGCGUGAUGACGAGGCACUACGGUGCUGAAGCAACAAAUGCCCUGCUUCCAGGAAAAGCCUCUAAGCAUCAGGUAACAUCAAAUCGUACCCCAAACCGACACAGGUGGUCAGGUAGAGAAUACCAAGGCGCUUGAGAGAACUCGGGUGAAGGAACUAGGCAAAAUGGUGCCGUAACUUCGGGAGAAGGCACGCUGAUAUGUAGGUGAAGCGACUUGCUCGUGGAGCUGAAAUCAGUCGAAGAUACCAGCUGGCUGCAACUGUUUAUUAAAAACACAGCACUGUGCAAACACGAAAGUGGACGUAUACGGUGUGACGCCUGCCCGGUGCCGGAAGGUUAAUUGAUGGGGUUAGCGGUAACGCGAAGCUCUUGAUCGAAGCCCCGGUAAACGGCGGCCGUAACUAUAACGGUCCUAAGGUAGCGAAAUUCCUUGUCGGGUAAGUUCCGACCUGCACGAAUGGCGUAAUGAUGGCCAGGCUGUCUCCACCCGAGACUCAGUGAAAUUGAACUCGCUGUGAAGAUGCAGUGUACCCGCGGCAAGACGGAAAGACCCCGUGAACCUUUACUAUAGCUUGACACUGAACAUUGAGCCUUGAUGUGUAGGAUAGGUGGGAGGCUUUGAAGUGUGGACGCCAGUCUGCAUGGAGCCGGCCUUGAAAUACCACCCUUUAAUGUUUGAUGUUCUAACGUUGGCCCCUGACCGGGGUUGCGGACAGUGUCUGGUGGGUAGUUUGACUGGGGCGGUCUCCUCCUAAAGAGUAACGGAGGAGCACGAAGGUUGGCUAAUCCUGGUCGGACAUCAGGAGGUUAGUGCAAUGGCAUAAGCCAGCUUGACUGCGAGCGUGACGGCGCGAGCAGGUGCGAAAGCAGGUCAUAGUGAUCCGGUGGUUCUGAAUGGAAGGGCCAUCGCUCAACGGAUAAAAGGUACUCCGGGGAUAACAGGCUGAUACCGCCCAGAGUUCAUAUCGACGGCGGUGUUUGGCACCUCGAUGUCGGCUCAUCACAUCCUGGGGCUGAAGUAGGUCCCAAGGGUAUGGCUGUUCGCCAUUUAAAGUGGUACGCGAGCUGGGUUUAGAACGUCGUGAGACAGUUCGGUCCCUAUCUGCCGUGGGCGCUGGAGAACUGAGGGGGCUGCUCCUAGUACGAGAGGACCGGAGUGGACGCAUCACUGGUGUUCGGGUUGUCAUGCCAAUGGCACUGCCCGGUAGCUAAAUGCGGAAGAGAUAAGUGCUGAAAGCAUCUAAGCACGAAACUUGCCCCGAGAUGAGUUCUCCCUGACUCCUUGAGAGUCCUGAAGGAACGUUGAAGACGACGACGUUGAUAGGCCGGGUGUGUAAGCGCAGCGAUGCGUUGAGCUAACCGGUACUAAUGAACCGUGAGGCUUAACCUUACAACGCCGAAG